UACAGAGGGUGCAAGCGUUAAUCGGAAUUACUGGGCGUAAAGCGUGCGUAGGCGGUUACGUAAGUCGGGGGUGAAAGCCCCGGGCUCAACCUGGGAAUUGCAUUCGAGACUGCGUAGCUAGGGUGCGGAAGAGGGAAGCGGAAUUCCCGGUGUAGCGGUGAAAUGCGUAGAUAUCGGAAGGAACACCAGUGGCGAAAGCGGCUUCCUGGUCCAGCACCGACGUUCAGGCACGAAAGCGUGGGGAGCAAACAGG
rnacentral:rRNA from 1 species